rnacentral:rRNA from 1 species
AACGAACGCUGGCGGCAGGCUUAACACAUGCAAGUCGAACGCACCGCAAGGUGAGUGGCAGACGGGUGAGUAACACGUGGGGAUCUGCCCAAUGGUACGGAAUAGCUCCGGGAAACUGGAAUUAAUACCGUAUGAGCCCGCAAGGGGAAAGAUUUAUCGCCAUUGGAUGAACCCGCGUCGGAUUAGCUAGUUGGUGUGGUAAAGGCGCACCAAGGCGACGAUCCGUAGCUGAUCUGAGAGGAUGAUCAGCCACACUGGGACUGAGACACGGCCCAGACUCCUACGGGAGGCAGCAGUGGGGAAUAUUGGACAAUGGGCGCAAGCCUGGUCCAGCCAUGCCGCGUGAGUGAUGAAGGCCUUAGGGUUGUAAAGCUCUUUCGCCGACGAAGAUAAUGACGGUAGUCGGAGAAGAAGCCCGGCUAACUUCGUGCCAGCCGCCGCCGUAACAC